GGUAUAGUGACACAGUAACAGAGGGAUUGAGGGCCUGCUCAGUGAGGUUACAUGUUAGAGGGAGUGGGGUAUAGUGACACAGUAACAGAGGGAUUGAGGGCCCUGCUCAGUGAGUUUACAUGUUAGAGGGAGUGGGGUAUAGUGAUACAGUAACAGAGGGAUUGAGGACCCUGCUCAGUGAGUUUACAUGCUAGAGGGAGUGGGGUAUAGUGACAGUAAGAGAGGGAUUGAGGGCCCUGCUCAGUGAGUUUACAUGUGAGAGGGAGUGGGGUAUAGUGACACAGUAACAGAGGGAUUGAGGGCCCUGCCCAGUGAGCUUACAUGUUAGAGGGAGUGGGGUAUAGUGACACAGUAACAGAGGGAUUGAGGGCCCUGCUCAGGGAGCUUACAUGCUAGAGGGAGUGGGGUAUAGUGACAGUAACAGAGGGAUUGAGGGCCUGCUCGGUGAGUUUACAUGUUAGAGGGAGUGGGGUAUAGUGACACAGUAACAGAGGAAUUGAGUCCCUGCUCAGUGAGCUUACAUGCUAGAGGGAGUGGGGUAUAGUGACACAGUAACAGAGGGAUUGAGGGCCCUGCUUAGUGAGUUUACAUGUUAGAGGGAGUGGGGUAUAGUGACACAGUAACAGAGGGAUUGAGGGCCCUGCUCAGUGAGUUUACAUGUUAGGGGGAGUGAGGUAUAGUGACACAGUAACAGAGGGAUUGAGGGCCCUGCUCAGUGAGGUUACAUGUUAGAGGGAGUGGGGUAUAGUGACACAGUAACAGAGGGAUUGAGUGCCUGCUCAGUGAGUUUACAUGCUAGAGGGAGUGGAGUAUAGUGACAGUAACAGAGGGAUUGAGGGCCUGCUCAGUGAGUUUACAUGUUAGAGGGAGUGGGGUAUAGUGACAGUAACAGAGGGAUUGAGGGCCCUGCUCAGUGAGUUUACAUGUUAGAGGGGGUGGGGUAUAGUGACACAGUAA